GUCUGUGGCCACUCUGAACAAGCCUGAUAUCUGAUCUCGGAAGCUAAGCAGGGUCGGUCCUGAUUAGUACUUGGAUGGGAGACCGCCUAGGAAGACCAGGUUCUAUAGGCA
rnacentral:rRNA from 1 species